UUAAAAAGCUCGUAGUUGAACCUUGGGCCUAGCCGGCCGGUCCGCCUCACCGCGUGCACUGGCUCGGUUGGGCCUUUCUUUCUGGAGAACCCCAUGUCCUUCACUGGGUGUGGUGGGGAACCAGGACUUUUACCGUGAACAAAUCAGAUCGCUUAAAGAAGGCCUAUGCUCGAAUGUAUUAGCAUGGAAUAAUNGAAUAGGACGUGUGGUUCUAUUUUGUUGGUUUCUAGGACCGCCGUAAUGAUUAAUAGGGACAGUCGGGGG
rnacentral:rRNA from 1 species